rnacentral:rRNA from 1 species
UUCCUUGGAAAAGGACAGCUGAGAGGGUGACACUCCCGUCCGCCUGGCAGAGUGAGUCAUUUGUCAACGAGUCGAGUUGUUUGGGAUUGCAGCUCUAAUUUGGUGGUAAGUUCCAUCUAAAGCUAAAUAUUGGUGGGAGACCGAUAGCGUACAAGUACCGUGAGGGAAAGAUGCAAAGAACUUUGAAAAGAGAGUUAAAGAGUACCUGAAACUGCUGAAACGGAAGCGAAGGAAACCAGUGUUUGUUUGUUCAUAUUUCCCUAGCCACUUGUGGCUUGGGCG